GAUGAACGCUGGCGGCGUGCCUAAUACAUGCAAGUCGAGCGAACGGACGAGAAGCUUGCUUUUCUGAUGUUAGCGGCGGACGGGUGAGUAACACGUGGAUAACCUACCUAUAAGACUGGGAUAACUUCGGGAAACCGGAGCUAAUACCGGAUAAUAUUUUGAACCGCAUGGUUCAAAAGUGAAAGACGGUCUUGCUGUCACUUAUAGAUGGAUCCGCGCUUCAUUAGCUAGUUGGUAAGGUAACGGCUUACCAAGGCAACGAUGCAUAGCCGACCUGAGAGGGUGAUCGGCCACACUGGAACUGAGAAACGGUCCAGACUCCUACGGGAGGCAGCAGUAGGGAAUCUUCCGCAAUGGGCGAAAGCCUGACGGAGCAACGCCGCGUGAGUGAUGAAGGUCUUCGGAUCGUAAAACUCUGUUAUUAGGGAAGAACAUAUGUGUAAGUAACUGUGCACAUCUUGACGGUACCUAAUCAGAAAGCCACGGCUAACUACGUG
rnacentral:rRNA from 1 species